GAAGUUGGAUUCGCUAGUAAUCGCGCAUCAGCCAUGGCGCGGUGAAUACGUUCCCGGGCCUUGUACACACCGCCCGUCAAGCCAUGGAAGCCGGGAGUACCUGAAGAUCGUGACCGCGAGGAACGGGCUAGGGUAAUACCGGUAACUGGGGCUAAGUCGUAACAAGGUAUC
rnacentral:rRNA from 1 species